GACGAACGCUGGCGGCGUGCUUAACACAUGCAAGUCGAACGAUGAAGCUGGAGCUUGCUCCGGUGGAUUAGUGGCGAACGGGUGAGUAACACGUGAGAAAUCUGCCCCUGACUCUGGGAUAACUGCGGGAAACUGUAGCUAAUACCGGAUACUUUCCCUGGUGGGCAUCCACUGGGGAAGAAAGAAUUUCGGUCAGGGAGGAUCUCGCGGCCUAUCAGCUAGUUGGUGAGGUAACGGCUCACCAAGGCGACGGCGGGUAACCGGCCUGAGAGGGUGACCGGUCACACUGGGACUGAGACACGGCCCAGACUCCUACGGGAGGCAGCAGUGGGGAAUAUUGCACAAUGGGCGCAAGCCUGAUGCAGCAACGCCGCGUGAGGGAUGAAGGCCUUCGGGUUGUAAACCUCUUUUAGCAGGGAAGAAGCGAAAGUGACGGUACCUGCAGAAAAAGCACCGGCUAACUACGUGCCAGCAGCCGCGGUAAUACGUAGGGUGCAAGCGUUGUCCGGAAUUAUUGGGCGUAAAGAGCUCGUAGGCGGUUUGUCACGUCUGCUGUGAAAAUCCAAGGCUCAACCUUGGACUUGCAGUGGGUACGGGCAGGCUAGAGUGCGGUAGGGGAGAUGGGAAUUCCUGGUGUAGCGGUGGAAUGCGCAGAUAUCAGGAGGAACACCAAUGGCGAAGGCACAUCUCUGGGCCGUAACUGACGCUGAGGAGCGAAAGCGUGGGGAGCGAACAGGAUUAGAUACCCUGGUAGUCCACGCCGUAAACGGUGGGUGCUAGCUGUGGGCCACAUUCCACGUGGUCCGUGACGAAGUUAACACAUUAAGCACCCCGCCUGGGGAGUACGGCCGCAAGGCUAAAACUCAAAGGAAUUGACGGGGGCCCGCACAAGCGGCGGAGCAUGCGGAUUAAUUCGAUGCAACGCGAAGAACCUUACCAAGGCUUGACA
rnacentral:rRNA from 1 species